AACGGACGCUGGCGGCAUGCCUAACACAUGCAAGUCGAACGAGACCUUCGGGGCUAGUGGCGCACGGGUGCGUAACGCGUGGGAACCUGCCGUUAGGUUCGGAAUAACUCCCCGAAAGGGGUGCUAAUACCGGAUAAUGUCUUCGGACCAAAGAUUUAUCGCCUUUGGAUGGGCCCGCGUUGGAUUAGCUAGUUGGUAGGGUAAAAGCCUACCAAGGCGACGAUCCAUAGCUGGUCUGAGAGGAUGAUCAGCCACACUGGGACUGAGACACGGCCCAGACUCCUACGGGAGGCAGCAGUGGGGAAUAUUGGACAAUGGGCGAAAGCCUGAUCCAGCAAUGCCGCGUGAGUGAUGAAGGCCUUAGGGUUGUAAAGCUCUUUUACCCGGGAUGAUAAUGACAGUACCGGGAGAAUAAGCUCCGGCUAACUCCGUG
rnacentral:rRNA from 1 species